AUGAACGCUGGCGGCGUGCCUAAUACAUGCAAGUCGAGCGAACAGACGAGGAGCUUGCUCCUCUGACGUUAGCGGCGGACGGGUGAGUAACACGUGGAUAACCUACCUAUAAGACUGGGAUAACUUCGGGAAACCGGAGCUAAUACCGGAUAAUAUAUUGAACCGCAUGGUUCAAUAGUGAAAGACGGUUUUGCUGUCACUUAUAGAUGGAUCCGCGCCGCAUUAGCUAGUUGGUAAGGUAACGGCUUACCAAGGCAACGAUGCGUAGCCGACCUGAGAGGGUGAUCGGCCACACUGGAACUGAGACACGGUCCAGGCUCCUACGGGAGGCAGCAGUAGGGAAUCUUCCGCAAUGGGCGAAAGCUUGACGGAGCAACGCCGCGUGAGUGAUGAAGGUCUUCGGAUCGUAAAACUCUGUUAUUAGGGAAGAACAAAUGUGUAAGUAACUAUGCACGUCUUGACGGUACCUAAUCAGAAAGCCACGGCUAACUACGUG
rnacentral:rRNA from 1 species